CAUUAAGAAGCUAUGCAUUAGCAUUAGCCUUUUAAGCUAAAGAAAGAGGAACUACCACCUCCUUAAUGA
rnacentral:tRNA from 1 species